CUGGCGGCUCUCUCCAGAGGCGGCCGGCCUGGGUGACGACCGCUGCCAGGCCAGAGCAACGGAUCCAUGGCGAUCACGCUGGUUCGGGUAACGCCUCGCCGGGCGAUGGGGCGCAUGUCAGCUCGAUUUAUUGAUCCGUUCGGUUGCAUGGCAUGCGUCCUGUGAAUUUCUAACACCAAUCCGAUGAUGAUUGAUUGAGACUUUAAUCAGCCAGUACUAACAGUUGAUGCACGGGCUGCUGGUUACUGAAGGUUUUGUACAAGGAUGAAUCCGAGUAACAUACUGUUGGGUUUCUUACCCUUUUCCAGCUGAAUCUGUCAGCAUACAAUGGCCAACGCACAUUCAGGUGCGUACGCCGAUUUCAUUUUCCCCAGCGGCCGGCGCAACCUCACUUUGCUCUCCGUCCAUCAACGAUCCGUCCCUCUAAGCAUAGUGUCUGAUCAUGUCGUCCAGAAGAAAGUAUACAUCUGGUAGCGAUAAAAGGAAAAAGAAGAAGGUGUGGAUGACUUGGUACAAUUACAACAUGGAAAUAUUCAUGGCAAAAGUGCUUGUCAAGAAGAAAUCCUAGAAGCUGAGAAGGCUUUUGAAGUUAAAUAUUUAUUUUGUUUUGGUUGAUAUGACGCUCACUUCUUUGAAAGGUGAAUUAAAAAAACUCAUUAUGUUUAAAGAUAUGUUUGGAUUAUUAAUGGGCUUGGGCACCCUGAAGCCAUUAAAUGAAUUGAACCUCAAGACUAUUGCACAAAAUCUGCAGAAACUUUUUCUCGUGAUGGUUCAUGAGAUGUAGAGGUAUAUGAUCUCAUUUUUUAAUUAAAGAUUAUGAUAUUCACUUU